UACGGGGGGGGUGAGCGUUGUUCGGAAUUACUGGGCGUAAAGGGCUCGUAGGCGGCCAACUAAGUCAUACGUGAAAUCCCUCAGCUUAACUGGGGAACUGCGUGUGAUACUGGAUGGCUUGGAUUUGGGAGAGGGAUGCGGAAUUCCAGGUGUAGCGGUGAAAUGCGUAGAUAUCGGAAGGAACAUCAGUGGCGAAAGCGGCUUCCUGGACCAGUACCGACGUUCAGGCACGAAAGCGUGGGGAGCAAACAGG
rnacentral:rRNA from 1 species